CUUUAUAAGCAUCUUUGUUGCGCCGACUGUUGCAUUAACCCAAGCACUACGUAAUCCAAUGAGAAGAUACGCAACAGGAUCAGAAGCAGUAGGCAAGACGACUUACCCGCUUUGAACGAGAACGCGUGAUCCCUUGGUGGGCUUCCGUUUUCCCCAUGUUGGUACAAUUGCAAGUCGCACCAUUCUAAUGGAUAUAAUGUACCAUCCGGCUUGUAGACGUAUCCGAUCUUCAAUCUAGAAUUCAUUGUCACGUUGUCACUUACACGGAACACGUGCAAGGCUGACAUAUAACACCAAUGGACGCUGUGGUACCAUCCUCGAGGAAAAGCAUGUGAAAUAUAUAACGGUGCAUCAAUUUCCAAUCGCGUUUAAAGCCUGACAAAAAGGUAUUAGAUACAUAACCUAUCUUUGUU